GACGAACGCUGGCGGCGUGCCUAAUACAUGCAAGUUGAGCGCUGAAGGUUGGUACUUGUACCAACUGGAUGAGCAGCGAACGGGUGAGUAACGCGUGGGGAAUCUGCCUUUGAGCGGGGGACAACAUUUGGAAACGAAUGCUAAUACCGCAUAAAAACUUUAAACACAAGUUUUAAGUUUGAAAGAUGCAAUUGCAUCACUCAAAGAUGAUCCCGCGUUGUAUUAGCUAGUUGGUGAGGUAAAGGCUCACCGAGGCGAUGAUACAUAGCCGACCUGAGAGGGUGAUCGGCCACAUUGGGACUGAGACACCGCCCAAACUCCUACGGGAGGCAGCAGUAGGGAAUCUUCGGCAAUGGACGAAAGUCUGACCGAGCAACGCCGCGUGAGUGAAGAAGGUUUUCGGAUCGUAAAACUCUGUUGGUAGAGAAGAACGUUGGUGAGAGUGGAAAGCUCAUCAAGUGACGGUAACUACCCAGAAAGGGACGGCUAACUACGUG
rnacentral:rRNA from 1 species